UAACUGUCUACUUUCCCCCAGAUUUCCUUUAUUCUGCUCAAGUCUCCGCCUGUGUUCGGCCCCUACCCACUUUCUUUCCUCCCGAUGGCAAGCCUCAGACUCCAGGCUUGAGGUUUUGUUUUUCUCCUGUGAGAACUCGAAGACCAUGUCUGCAGAACUCUUCUCAUCCUUAAGAGAGGAAGGAAGCUGUGGCUCAGGACCCAGUUUUAGGUCUAAUCAAAGGAAAAUAUUAAACCUGUUCCUGGAGAGAGACACUUCCUUUACCGUCUGUCCAGGUGUCUCUAGAACUCCAGUGGGUGAAUUUCUUGGUGAUUCUACAAACCUAAGCAUUUUGUCUGGAGGAACCCCAAAACGCUGCCUUGAUCUUUCAAGUCUUAGCAGUGGGGAGAUAUCUGCCACUCAGCUUACCAUUUCUGCAGACCUUGAUGAAACUGGUCACCUGGAUUCUUCAGGACUUCAGGAAGUACAGUUAGCUGGGAUGAAUCAUCACCAGCACCUAAUGAAAAGUAGCCCAGCACAGCUUCUUUGUAGCACUCCAAACGGUUUGGACCGUAGCCAUAGAAAGAGAGAUGCAAUGUGUAGCUCAUUUGCAAAUAAAGAAAAGGAAAACAGCACUUUGAGGCCGUUGGAGUGGCACGCACCCAGGAACCUGAGAUUUCAAAAGAGAUCAGGGGAGCCUUAUGUGUCUCCUUUAUCUCUGCUGGACAAUGGAAACUUGGUGGACAGUGAAAUGAAAUAUCUGGGCAGUCCUAUUACUGCUGUCUUAAAAUUGGAUAAAAAUCCAAAACUAGGAGAAGGUCAGGCAGAAGAGAUUUCAGAUGAAUUAAUGGAGUUUUCCCUGGAAGGUCAAGAAGCCAAGGCCUCAGUGAAGAGAAGCUGCCUAUAUCGCUCCCCUUCCAUGCCGGAGAACUUGAAUAGGCUAAGACUGAAGCAGGUGGACAAAUGCAAGGACAAUGCAAUGCCAGAUAAAGUUAAAAAAAAAGUAUUUUUCUGGCCAAGGAAAGCUCAGGAAGGGCUUACAUUUAAAGAAGACAGUCUCUCUGUGUGACAUUAAUAUCAUUGAGAUGCUGGAGGAAGAUUCUAACCAAGGGCAUCUGAUUGGUGAUUUUUCCAAGAUAUGUGCACUGCCAACCAUGUCAGGGAAACACCAAGAUCUGAAGUAUGUCAACCCAGAAACAGUGGCUGCCCUACUGUUGGGGAAUUUCCAGGGUCUGAUUGAGAAGUUUUAUGUCAUUGAUUGUCGCUAUCCAUAUGAGUACCUGGAAGGAUACAUCCAGGGAGCCUUAAACUUGUAUAGUCAGGAAGAACUAUUUAACUUCUUUCUAAAGAAGCCCAUUGUCCCUUUGGACACCCAGAAGAGAAUAAUCAUCGUGUUCCACUGUGAAUUCUCCUCAGAGAGGGGACCCCGAAUGUGCCGUUCUCUCCAAGAAGAGGACAGAUCUCUGAACCAGUAUCCUGCAUUGUACUACCCAGAGCUAUAUAUCCUUAAAGGCGGCUACAGAGACUUCUUUCCAGAAUAUACGGAGUUGUGUGAACCACAGAGCUACUGCCCUAUGCAUCACCAGGACCACAAGGCUGAGUUGCUGAGGUGUCGAAGCCAGAGCAAAAUGCGGGAAGGGGAGCGGCAGCUGCGAGAGCAAAUUGCCCUUCUGGCGAAGGACAUGAGCCCAUGAUAACAGACCAGCCACUGGUUGCUAACAGGUCAUCCAAAGACACUGCAGAAACCCUGAGCAGAAAGAGGCCUUCUGGAUGGCCAAACCCAAGAUUGUUAAAAGAUGUCUGUAAACUAACAGGCUGCCAACCUGUUGAAAUGCCAGGCCUGGGAAUGGAUAAGGUUUCAGCUUGC